CCUACGGGAGGCAGCAGUGGGGAAUAUUGCGCAAUGGGCGAAAGCCUGACGCAGCGACGCCGCGUGAGGGAUGAAGGUCUUCGGAUCGUAAACCUCUGUCAGCAGGGAAGAACGGUCACUGUGCUAAUCAGCAGUGAAUUGACGGUACCUGCAAAGGAAGCACCGGCUAACUCCGUGCUAGCAGCCGCGGUAAUACGGAGGGUGCGAGCGUUAAUCGGAAUUACUGGGCGUAAAGCGCUCGUAGGCGGUAUGUCAAGUCAAGGGUGAAAUCACCGCGUUCAAAGUGGGACCUGCCUUUGAAACGGGCAAACUGGAGUGUGUGAGAGGAUAGUGGAAUUCCAGGUGUAGGAGUGAAAUCCGUAGAUAUCUGGAGGAACAUCAGUGGCGAAGGCGACUAUCUGGCACAUAACUGACGCUGAGGAGCGAAAGCGUGGGUAGCAAACAGGAUUAGAUACCCCGGUAGUC
rnacentral:rRNA from 1 species